AUUAUUUUUCCAAAAAAAAAAAAAAAAAAAAAUCUGUUCUUAUCAGUUUAAUAUCUGAUACGUCCCAUAUCUGGGGACCAUAUAUUAAAUUGAUUUUUGGAAUAGGGAGAUGGAAUAGGGGCUUGCUCCGUCCACUCCACGCAUCGACCUGGUAUUGCAGUACUUCCAGGAACGGUGCACCCCCU
rnacentral:snRNA from 1 species